rnacentral:rRNA from 1 species
UACAGAGGUGGCAAGCGUUGUUCGGAAUUACUGGGCGUAAAGCGCACGUAGGCGGACAUUUAAGUCAGGGGUGAAAUCCCAGAGCUCAACUCUGGAACUGCCUUUGAUACUGGGUGUCUUGAGUAUGGAAGAGGUGAGUGGAAUUCCGAGUGUAGAGGUGAAAUUCGUAGAUAUUCGGAGGAACACCAGUGGCGAAGGCGGCUCACUGGUCCAUUACUGACGCUGAGGUGCGAAAGCGUGGGGAGCAAACAGG